CCUACGGGGUGCUGCAGUGGGGAAUAUUGGACAAUGGGCGAAAGCCUGAUCCAGCCAUGCCGCGUGUGUGAAGAAGGCCUUCGGGUUGUAAAGCACUUUCAGUGGGGAAGAAAGCCUUGGGGCUAAUACCCUCGAGGAAGGACAUCACCCACAGAAGAAGCACCGGCUAACUCCGUGCCAGCAGCCGCGGUAAUACGGAGGGUGCGAGCGUUAAUCGGAAUUACUGGGCGUAAAGCGCGCGUAGGCGGUCUGAUAAGCCGGUUGUGAAAGCCCCGGGCUCAACCUGGGAACGGCAUCCGGAACUGUCAGGCUAGAGUGCAGGAGAGGAAGGUAGAAUUCCCGGUGUAGCGGUGAAAUGCGUAGAGAUCGGGAGGAAUACCAGUGGCGAAGGCGGCCUUCUGGACUGACACUGACGCUGAGGUGCGAAAGCGUGGGUAGCAAACAGGAUUAGAUACCCCUGUAGU
rnacentral:rRNA from 1 species